CGCAGCCAUACGGGCUAUGCUGCCCCAGCUGAACUGUAUCUGCAUUUUAACGGAGGGAGAAAAGACAUUAUAUGGCGAUGUGCUCCUCCCUCUACCCUGCCAACCUCAUCUGUCAGCCAUUAGUUAAUCAGGGCUGGUAACGCAGAGCACAGAGAGCUGGCACAGUGCGUGGGACCAGAGGACAGCUUCACCUCUGAGAGCAAGAAGAGGGCAAGGACUCAGGGACCUCUGCUUCACCGAUCGACAGCUGGGUUGCCUCACUCACCAGCACCCACUCAGGACUGGCAGGCGGCAACCUCAAGAUGACCCCACCCACUACUUGACUGCAAACAGGUAAGCCAAUAGGACACAUGGAAACUGUUAGGUAUCCAAGAGAGACUUGUCUAGAGUUGAAAUAUCUGUCACUCAGCCAAUAUGUCAAUCAAAGCAGCUAAGACUGUACAGCACCUCAUAGAGAGAAUGUAAAUUCCACAAAACCGACAAACCACUUUGGCUCUGCUUUGCGUUCAAAUGUGCAUUUAUUUGUUCGCUGAUCACAAUGGCCUCAAGCAUGUAUGAAGACAUUUAUUACUGUGAGAACUAUAAUCAUGCUAUAAAAGUUGUUUUUUUGGUGAUAAAGCAGACUUCAGUGUUUUGUAAACCCUGGUUUAUGCUGGAUCUGACAAAUAAAAAGACACAAUGUCAGAUUUUGGCAGAUCGGUGAUGAAGAUAAACUAUCAUGUAUUUAACAUUGUUGUUUUAAAUGAAAGUUUUUGUAUGUAUGCUAUAUGUGAGGGUUAUAAGUGAGACCAUAUCUUAAAAUGUGAACGCCAAGGUCGAAUUCCGAUCACAUUGCAGCACGCUUGCAAUGCAAGAGGAUGGUAAUACCAAGCAUAUGCUAACUGUAGUUACCCCCACUCUUCAAAGGAGCUCAGUGUUGACCCCGAGCAAGAACAAACUUGCAAGUUUAGACUGUGUAAAGGGAGUCUAGAAUUAUACCCUGGGCUGCAUGUUGUCAAGGUUGUGAGAUACAGUAUCUUCAAACAAUGCUAUCUGCUCUAUGGGCAGCCAUGCCCAUGCAAAAUCUAAAUUUAUGAUGCAAAAUAUAAUCUAUAAACCAAAUUAAGUGAUAGUUGGGAACUGAAAGCACUUUAAGAUAGUUUCACGCCUUGUGUUAUAUCUAUACCAGUGUCAGUGUGUUCUCUGGUUCAUAGAUUAAACUGUAGAUCAAAGAAAAGAAGGAGACAAAAGGGAGGAAGAUAAAGGGUCACAGAACAUUCAGGCUGCUUCUCUGUUCAUGGUCUUGUUUUGCAGGGAGGUUUCAAAGACAGAAGUCAAAACAACACAUGUUGUCAACAUGGUAACAGCUGGUAAGAGCGGCGUCAUGGGGCAGAGGAAUGUCAAGAGUCAUAGAUCUUUUAUCCAUCAGGCCAAAAUAGCCACCCAGACUUGUUUGAAACCAAGCAGAGGAGCGGUGUGAAAUCCUAACAUUUGUAUGUCCAACUCAUUUCAGUCUAACUUUGCCUAUAAUCAAUCCUACAAGACAUGUCGAACCAUUGCAAUUAUAAGAUUAAUGCAAAAAAAAACAAGUAUAUGCAAACAUAUGCAAAUGCAGAAUAUAUGCAUAUUAUGUUUUACAGUAAAAGGUACAGCAACUACUUUUGAAUUACAGAUGUGACAAGUUGAUUUUUGCCAUAUUAUUCAUCCCAGGAUGCAGUUGAUUGUAUGAUGUGGAAAUUAUUUCCUGCCUCUGUCAGUGUAGUUCCUGACAGACUGUCAGCUGCAGGAGCUACAGCAUGCUUCUGAUUGGAAACGAAUAGUCAGCUAAAACUAAACAGAAUAUUCUGUGCUCCAUGCCAAAGUAUGACUUUGCCAUCUCAAAAGAGUUAAAUAAACAACCGGUUGAGUAGGCAUAUACAGUUUCUUCAACACAGUUUCCUUUUUAAGUCAACACCACUCAGAGAAGAUAUACCAAGCAACCAUAAGUCAAAACCAAAUGACAAAACAGCAGAGUUUUUCCGCCUGUCUAAACAUUCCACUGAGAGCUUUUUCCAUUACCAUGUUUUACUGAAACAUCCAGCACUGCUCAGAUGAGUGCUAUGCUGCAGAUGGGGGGGAAAAAAAAGAAGAAUCACUAAAGAAAAGACUGAAUACAGCAAAUUCUUGAAAAAUGCAAACAGCAGGCCAGCCAUAAAGUCAUAAAGUAGUAGUCACCUUUGACACAGGACAUCCAAGUCUAACUCCCUCUUCCUGCUAAAUGUUACCCAGCUGCUUUUCUAAUCUGUCAUAGCAACCAGCUUGCCACAGCUUGCAGACAUGGAUAAGUAUGGAAAAGUUCAGUGAAGUGAAAGAUCUUGCCCUUCCAUUUAUAUUUACAAAAAAAAAGAACAAAGCAAGUGAUACAAGAAGAAUAAGGAAAAUAUUAUAGUUUUACACUGUUUUUAAUGGUGUAAAUUAAAGCUCUACAACUGCUGUGUGAGUGUGUGUGUGUGUCUCAUUACCAUGCAUAUCCCAAAGCACACACAGUAUUUAUAACAUUCCUUUUAGGGUAGUAUUAUGGAGCUGACAUUUAACUUUUUUGGUAUUUAAAUGCAAAUUGAAGUGUUUACCAAAAUGUUACUCUGUUUUACACACAACUCCUUCCCUCACACUGUCCCUUUAAGAAGCUCUGCAAACCCUGUGCCUGGUCUCAGCCAAGUCCACAGAUGGAAGUCUUGACAAAAUGAAAAACUCACUCGAACACUGUCUCAAUGAGGAAAUAAGUAGAUAAAUACAAACAUCAAUCCAAUCCCUGAUGUACCCUGUUUGGUCAAUACAUUUACAGCACAGCGACAAAGUAUUUUGAUUUUCAACAGUCUACGACAUCCAUAAUAAACAUUAGGUUUUAGUUUCAACCCCUUUGACUCAACAAGGAGGAUCUCCUUGUAGAACACUCAAGGGAAGGGAAGUAGACCCAAAUGCAUAAUGAAGUGGUCAGUGAUGUAAAAUACUGUGCCUCCUUGACAGUCUUGUCACUUAAACAACUGCUGAAACAACAGUAAGUGCAUCCAAAAAAAAUUUUUUAUAUAUAUAUUGGAAAAAUGUAUAUAUUUUAAACUAAACUUCUUCACAAAACACCUUCUAGUGCACAUUGAACAUCACAAAUCAUUAAAAAUACAGUGCACAAAAACUAAAGGGUGCAUUUUUCCUUUGAAUGUUUGUGUCUUUUGGUAAUAAAUGAAAAGACUGAAAAAUACUGCAACUUCAACGACUGACUUACAUACUGGAAUGUCCUCACCAUCUGUAGACCAGUGGUCGUGCUAAUAUUGACCAAGAACCAGUAAAAGCUGACCUGACAGUAGCUAACUCACGUCUAUAAGUAUAGCAGAUGCAAAAAGUACAGCGUGAAUAAAUUCCAGAGAAGCUAAAACACCAGCAACUUAAUGUUUGCAUGUAAGGCAGAGCUAAAAUAAAGGACUAUUAGCCCCCUGUUACCUGAAGUAGUUAAGAAAAAUCUUGUGGGACACAUAAUCUAUCACGGUUUCUCCCAUAAGAGGGAAAAAGCUCUUUGACAGAGAUGGCGAGUCCCACGAACUCCUUUUCACUCCAUCAACUCGAUAGCAUCGACAGGCCCAAACAAGACCAGGCCCCAUCAAGUCUGAGGUGGUAGCCUCGUGCGAGAAGAAUAUACGUUUAAGUGGAGUCUGAGAAGCGUCUCCUACAGGCCUAAAACCACUUUAGAAUACUCCACCAGCAGGUUGAGGAAAAACAGACGCUCUCAACCUGUGUCAAAGUGAGGCCAUGUUCCCUAAUAUUCGAUGAGCCUGGGGUAGACCAACCUAAAUGCUUCCAGACCUUCACGCCCUGUCUCCUCUCAUUUGGUCUAGUGCAUCUGUUCUUAGCGUGGAUCACCCACAAAACAACAUAUACAAUGACUAGAUGGACUCCUCUCUUAAUAUCUUCCAAUGGCCUACACAAACUCAAUGUGGUAACUCCUAUUACUUUAGAUGGGGCUUUGAUCCAACAGAGACAGCAUUAAUAUCACGUUUUAACUGCUCACUAUACUGUGUAGCAUGUUCUUUUCUUCAUGCUUUCCAACUGCUUGAACUAAAAGAGGCUUUCAUUGCUGAUGUGAAAGCCACACUGUGAUCUGAAUAUUAUGAAUAACAUCUCGCAGCGUCUGGUUUUCUGCCCACCACGUCCUAAUAGUUUGCCAAAAUCUGUGGGCAACAGUGCUUGACUUUUGACCAGCAAAUCAUCAACUGAACUAUUUUGCUUUCUCUUUAAGGCCGAAAUGAAACAUUAUCUCCCCACGCAGAUUUAAAUUAAAGCCAUGACAAGAACCAUGCUCACAAGGACCACAGUGGGACCUUCCAGCCGCCACCGAUUCGAUUGCUCACACUCGACUGGCGUAUGGGCAGGAUCAGGAAACGCAAACCCAAUGAUGUCACGACCAUCUGACCCCAGGGGUGACAGGUUUGGAGAAUGUUCUUGCCCACUGCCCUCAGGCCAAAGUCAAGUAUGUCAAUGUUGUGCAUGUGGAUUUCAUUUGAACCAGCAUGAUUAGUUCACAGACACUCAACUGCAAGCCCCCUCCAUGGGAAACCCACUCUGGGCAGGAAACGGUAUGUUUUUGUUAGCAACAAACAGGCAUAAAUUACCAAAAUGGUGCCUCGGUUGCCAAUUCAUCACACACAGCCUUACUGUUGCUUAUUGCACACAUUUGACAUCGACAUUGCUUUUAAAGUAAUUAUCAUUAGUUAAUGAUAUUUACAUUCCUGAUAGUUUAUGUUUUACUAUGUGUCUGCUAUUCUAAUUUUGUGCAAUAAAUGUGGUAAUUGUUUUGUGUCGUUUCUUUUGAAUACAUGACAAAUGUGUUUUGAUGAUCAUGAUGAUCAUUUAGUUUCUGAAGCUGCAUAAUUAAAAAUGAAGAUUCUCAGAGGAAAAACAAGCAGAUUUUGCAGAGGAUAUUAUCAAAGUGAAGCAAAGAUUUAAUUGGUAAAUUUGGGGGAAAAACAACAUCAUUGUCCUUAUAUAAAUAAUGGCAAACAUAAAAAUCCUCUCCUUGAUCAAAUGUUCAUUAGAAAGCAACACAUAUUUGUGAAUAUCGUCAAGCUGGUAGGAUAAUGGUAUUUGUGUCAAAAUAUUUUUCCAAGAGGGAAUUAAACAUCAUACAGUGAUGCAGGACAUUUUAAUUUUAAGGAUACAAUUAUAGAUUUAAUUCAUGAGUUACCGCUGCACACGAUUUGAUCGAUGUUUCUAUUUAGUGUGGAAAUAUAUUUGGGGAAUACUACCUACAUGAAGAGGCCAUUACAUAAGGUAAGACACCCUCUAAAGCCAUGAGAAAUAUUUUGACAGUGUUAUGUAAUACAAGAACCCCACCAGGCCAUGCUAUUCCCCUCUGUCCUCUAACAGAGUUCCUAAAAUCUUGUCUUCUUAUUGAUAAACUUAAAAAUGGUAUGAAGGUUCUUUGUAAUUUCUACUCAUAUUUAUUGAGAUUACAUGGAACAAGGUAUUUUUUAAUCACAGAACUUGGCCUCAUAAUUAAGUUUAAUAAACUAAACACUUGACGCUGCAGGUUAUGACUAUAUAGAGCUAUAUUAGGUACAUUUUUCACUGCCGUUGGUAAAUAAAAGGUUAUAGACAAAUACAAACUACAGGCACGUGUCUGAGGCACGUGGUAAGGUCUACAGAUAUUAUUUUAUGAUACCACCUGAUAUUACUUCUAACGCAGGUGUUUCUAAAAAGAUAUUUUAAUGUGUUUUUCCUAAAAGAAUGAGUCCCUCCAGGACAAUAUCGCAUAUGUAAUUCAAUCAGCAGUAUUCUGUAAAUACUGGCUUUGCUCGGCUCGCUUUUGGAUCUCCUCAGCUAAACGACCCUUGCCAGCAUGAAUUAAUACCAAUUAUUGUUGUAGUAAAAGUAAUACUCUGCCGGUCUCCUGCCAAAUGCAUUACAGAGAGCUCCAUUAAUACAAUGGUAAACAGAUGUGCCACCCACCAUCAAAGUUUGAUUUGGACCAUGUAAGUUUUCUUGGGGAGAUUACAAAAUGAAAUGCUAAAACUCAUAAAAGAAAAAGGCCUGCAGUGUUUUUAUACCAAAUUAUGCAGAGGUAUGUUAAGUACUACAGAUACUAUUAUAAAAAGAUUUCCAGUAUUCCCUCAAAGACUGAAUUAUUACAAGGAUUACUGAAAAAGACUUCCAAAUGGGAUGAAGUCAAUUGAGGGUCAAAUACCAAAAUAUCCCAUAAUGACCUACAAGUCAAGUCUUUUCUAUAAGCUGUUUACAGUACUUCGUCUAUGCAUUAUAUAUUGCAGUGCAUAAACAUGCACAUGGUUUACCAGUGCACGUUAGUGUGAUAUCAAGCUACUGUAUAUGAGAUAAUAACUAUUGUGUCUAAAGAAAUAAACUAUAUAUUUUAAGUAU